UUGUAACACAAGGAGGAGGAGGGCAGGCUGUCAUUCUUAUCAAGCUGGGGCUCAGCUUUUGUCCCCAGUCUGGGCCCAGCUCUCUUUGAUCCUGGCAAGGCCAUUGUUUCCCCAGUGCUGGCCUCUCUGCCUUGCAGGGGAAAAUGUGGUCUUUGUUCUUCUGAGACUUUUUUAUCCAAGUUCUGCCCUGGUGGGGACAAGCCGGGAGGGGCUCCGUGUGAGGAUCCAGUCCCCGCAGCUGAGGGACAAGGGCCGCCCCUGUCUCCUGGCCUCCGCCUUGCGUGGGUUGCUCAGAACCUUCUGGCUUGCACAAGUCAUGCUGUGUUGGGGGUGGAGAGGGAACACUGGGCAGUUUCAGCUUCUUUAUUUUUAAAAAUUGCCUUUGUUAACGUUUCCAGCGUGACCUUAAUAUAAAUCAAAUGCAGCAAACACUUGGCGAAAACCUGCAUUUGAAUCUUAGUGCAGCUAUUUACUGGCUGGGUCAACGUGGGUUAGACAUUUCACCAAUUGGGGUCUCAGUUGCCUUCUCUACACAAUCAGGAAAAUGAAAAUAUUUAUGCUACAGUAUUAUCGGGAGGUUUUAUUCAUCCAUUGAAUAUCUGUUAAGCAUCAACUCUUCGUCAAGCACUGUGGUCUGUGCUGUAGAAGCAGUGCAGAAUGAGAUAGACUUGAUCAAAUGCCUCCUGAAGCUUACCAGAGAAGGACAUUCAACUGACAUAUUUGUGAGUCCUGCAAGAAGAAGUGCAGAUUGUCAGGGCAGCGUGUACUAGCGCUUCACUGAGUCUUGGUGGUCAAGAGAGAAUUUUGCAAAAAUUCAACAUGCAUCAAAGGAAGCUGGGACUUGGGAGCUAAUUGAACACAUUGGUCCCUCCCACCCCCAAACCCCUGCGCAGGAUCAGAUCCUUUACCAACACCUGCUGGGUUUGAGCAGGUUUAAGAAACUCCUGGCCCCUCUAGGGAACAUACUCAGCUGAAAAGGAGUAGAGGCUGGGAACUGCUCCAGGGGCCUGGAAAUUGAUGAAGAUGCAUACAAGAUGAGACAGCUGAGACUCAGAGAAGUGAGGGUAACUUGCCUGAAGCCACACAGCUAGGUUGAACAUACAACAUCCUCAACAAUGCAGAAGGCUAUCAAUUUCACUGCACCCUUGCUAGCACUGGGCAUUAUUGUUAUUACUGGUAAAGUUAUUAGAAGAAAUAAGGGGCUGGAAGGAUGUUCUUACCCUAUCACUUACCAUGACCUGCAGUAACGUUGGAAGCGCCACUGGGAAAAGGAUCACCUGCAGACAAUAUGCAGGAUGAGUGACACACACCAUCCUGUCCAAUCCCUCCAUCAUCCUAGAUGAAGGCGAACUAUUACCUCCAUUGUAUUUAUUUAAGGAUUCAACAAUAAUUAUAAGUGAGAAUCCCAGUUUCUACUCAUUUAUUCUAAACCAAACACACAUAAGUCAACUAUCCUGGGCUCUUCAAAAAUGUCAGUGCCAUGAAAGAAAGAAAGAAAAAGGGCAUAAGAACUAUUGUAUACUAGAAUCUGCCUGUAACUCAGGAGUCUCAGGAGACAUGGGUUCGAUCCCUGAGUUCGGAAGAUCCCCUGGAGGAGGAAAUGGCUGCCGACUCCAGUAUUCUUGCUCAGAAAAUCCCAUGGACAGAGGAGCCUGGUGUGCUACAGUCCAUACGGUUGUAAAGAAUUGGAUAUGACUGAGCGCACAUGCGUGACACUUGAAAGAGACGUGACAUCCAAGUGUGGUGUGUGAUACGUGUUUGGAUGCUGGAUUGGAAAAAGAAAGAACAGCUGUAAAGAGAAUUACUGGGAAAUGUUAAAUACUAAACAUGUAUUCCAUAGUAUUUUAUAAAUAUUAAAUUUGGAAGCAUGAUAAUGAUAUCAUAUGAGAGAAUAAAAUUGUAAGAGAUGCAUAUUAAAGUAUUUAGAGAUACUAGUGUUUUUAUAUUGGUAAGUUAUGUUCCAAUAAUUCACAAACUAUAUAUGUGUGUGUGUGUGUGUGCACACAUAUAUAAAGAGAGAGAGGUAAGGAAAGAGCCAAUAUGGCAAAAUAUUAACAGUUAAUAAAUUUGUAUAGAAAUCAUAGGAAUUAAUUGGACUAUUAAUGUUUCUGUUUUAAUUUCUCUGAAACUUUAAAAAAUUAAAAGGUGGGUGAAAUGGUAGCAGGUAUUACAUAUUAAGGAUCAUAUAUCUAGUAGCAAGAGUGUUACAUAUCAAUUACCAAGUGCUGCUGCUGCUGCUAAGUCGCUUCAGUCGUGUCCGACUCUGUGCAACCCCAGAGACGGCAGCCCACCAGGCUCCCCCGUCCCUGGGAUUCUCCAGGCAAGAACACUGGAGUGGGUUGCCAUUUCCUUCUCCAAUGCAUGAAAGUGAAAAGUGAAAGUGAAGUCGCUCAGUCGUGUCCGACUCUUCGCGACCCCAUAGACGGCAGCCCACCAGGCUCCUCCGUCCAUGGGAUUGUCCAGGCAAGAGCACUGGAGUGGGGUGCCAUUGCCUUCUCCACCAAGCGUUAGUGGCAUGUAUUACAAAUCAAGUGCUGACUGUGCUAGGCUUGUGUUAAGUGUUUUACAUACAUCAUUAAUUUAUUUAAUCCUCAUCACAAUCCUCUAAGGCAGCUAACAUUUCUUUAUACUUGAGGUAUCUGAGGUUCAGAGAGGUGCAGAAACUUGUUCAAGGUCACUCAGUUAACAGGGAAGGAAGCAGAGGCACCGAGAGAGGAGUAACCUGCCCAGACCAUCACCUAAAUAAUGGUCAUGACAGGGUUAGGACUGAGGUGUCUGAUUCUUAACUGGGAUUUGGUCAAUUGUAUUAAAAAGGUUAUUCCUCCUUGUUUUCUUGCCCAGUGGGACUCCAUCUAGAGAAACGUUUCCGCCAGCUCUACUAGACUUAUUUCAAAAAGAAAAUAUUCCGUUUUUUCAUUCCACUUUGAAAAGAUAAGGCAUCCAGCUUCCUGUCCUGUGGCUGUUGCUCAGACUUCUGUACUAGUUCUCAGCAAUGUGUGUUCUCCGUGACUAUUGGGUCACAACUUUUAUCAGAUUCCAGAGAUGGGAAAACUCAAGCGGCCAACAGAAGCUCCGGACUGAGAGCAAGCAGUCUCUUUCAUUACUAGAGGGACAGUGAUUCUUUGUCUGCUUCUGACUAUUCACUUUAAACACAAGCACAGAGUUAGCCUGAUAUAGGGUUCUGCAAGCUGAGGGUCAUGACCCUUUAGUGGGUCUUGAGAUCAACUUAGAUGGUGGCUGGCAGCGUUUAGAAAAUGAUUUUGAAGAUAACAACAAGGACCUACUAUAUAGCACAGAGAACUACAUUCAGUUUCUUGUAAUAGCCUAUAAUGGAAAAGAAUCUGAAAAAGGUAUAUAUAUAUAACUGAAUCAUUUUUCUGUACAUCUGAAACACUGUAAAUCAACUAUUUAAAUAAAAAAUGAUUUUAAAAUCACAUUGACUAGAAUAUAAAAUAUUGGUGUAUGUUCAUUAUGAAGGUAGAUUUUUUUGUGUGUGUGUGAAAGUACUCACAUACAGACACACACACACAAGUUUUGGAUGAUGGUAUA
ensembl:lncRNA